ensembl:lncRNA
AAUACCUUCAGCUCAAAGCAUGCCACAGACACCAUCGCACCCACAUAUACCCCACCACACACACACACGUACACAUGCACUGCUUUCUGAGUCAUUUUUGCCUCUUCUUUCACCUCACGCACUAUUCUCAAAGGACUGUGUAACUGCGAACACAGAAACUGUGUUAGCGUGCAUUCAUGCCCAUAUCCUCCACUGUAAGUUAGGGAUCAUAACUGAAAGAAUGAUAAUACCUGAGAUAUUAAAUGCACCUAUAAUGGCUUUUACAUCUUUUCAUUCUGUUUUAUGUAUGUGUGUGUGUGUGCCUGUGCAUGUCUGUAUGAGUGGGUUUGCAAUGAUUGUCUCUGUUAGUAACCCACCGAAGGACAACUCCAAACUAAAGAAAAGGGUUUUGCGCCCUCUCUUCUGUAGCCACCCUCAUUCAAAAUGAUGGAGAUGCAAGUGAUGAUGAUGGCAAAGGAAAUUCUACUGUCUGAGAGCACCUUUUCUCUCAAAAAUGGCUGUAUAUGAAAUAGAUGUGAGAGCAUCCAUCCUUCUGGCUUCGUGUUAGCAAGCUUCUCUACUUUCUUUGAGCCUUCCAGUGCACGUUCUUUCAGACUUUUGUAUGAUGACCACAUAGUGUCACUACGCUCUCCUGAUGUUCCCAUCACAUUUCUAGAGAUCCAUCAGAUCUCACAUGUUGGGAAAAGACUGUUACUUUGCUCCAGCUAAGUACUUUUUCCAAAAUAUAUUGAAAACAAAGAGGAGAGAGCUCUUUUUUGGCCAGUGACCCCGCAAGCCAGAAGAGGCAGGUUGGCUCAGUCUGAUGUCAGCAACAAAAUGCCCAGCAUCCCGGUCCCGUGUGUUGUGUGGCU